rnacentral:rRNA from 1 species
UACAGAGGGUGCUAGCGUUGUUCGGAAUUAUUGGGCGUAAAGCGCGUGUAGGCGGCCUUGCAAGUUGGGUGUGAAAGCCCUCGGCUUAACCGAGGAAGUGCGCCUAAAACUACAAGGCUUGAGUACCGGAGAGGGCGGCGGAAUUCCCGGUGUAGAGGUGAAAUUCGUAGAUAUCGGGAGGAACACCAGUGGCGAAGGCGGCCGCCUGGACGGAUACUGACGCUGAGACGCGAAAGCGUGGGGAG